rnacentral:rRNA from 1 species
GGGGGAAUUUUGGACAAUGGGCGCAAGCCUGAUCCAGCCAUUCCGCGUGCAGGAUGAAGGCCCUCGGGUUGUAAACUGCUUUUGUACGGAACGAAAAGGCUUUCUCUAAUACAGAGAGUUGAUGACGGUACCGUAAGAAUAAGCACCGGCUAACUACGUGCCAGCAGCCGCGGUAAUACGUAGGGUGCAAGCGUUAAUCGGAAUUACUGGGCGUAAAGCGUGCGCAGGCGGUUAUGUAAGACAGGUGUGAAAUCCCAGGGCUUAACCUUGGAACUGCAUUUGUGACUGCAUAGCUAGAGUACGGUAGAGGGGGAUGGAAUUCCGCGUGUAGCAGUGAAAUGCGUAGAUAUGCGGAGGAACACCGAUGGCGAAGGCAAUCCCCUGGACCUGUACUGACGCUCAUGCACGAAAGCGUGGGGAGCAAA